AGUGUUGUUACGUUUAGGUUAGGUUUUGGAUGUCAAUCUUGAUGUUAGUUUAAAUAAAUAAUAAGUAGAACCAUUUAGCAUACAAAUGCUAAGAGAAGUGGAACACAAGUAACGUGUAUUGGAAACCCCUGCUCAACCAACUUAUACACUCGAUCGCCUCCAUCCAGAAACUAUGGCACCAUGCGGCAAUCGUGGGACAUACACACACCUCCAAGCACGAAUUCACCAUCCUGCCGAAAGAGUUGUGGAAUCGAAGGAAAAGAGGUGCCGAGGCCGACACGAUGAAGAGUCGUACAUCACAACGUACAAGGAGAGCAUUCGGGUAAUGCACUCUCUCACUCUCUCACGAUCAUCGCUGUGGAGCGUGCUCGCAAGCCAAUUUAGGGCACGAUCGUCAUCUCAAUUACUCUCGCUCACACGAUCAGUACUUGGACUGUAUGCUAGGCAGCACGGGGAAGAAUAACGGAGACCAGUCGACACGAACUCGUAGAUCAAGCCAGAUGUGGGUAUAGUCACGUGACCGCAUCGGUGGUGUAGUGCUUUAUGGCAUAACGAAGUUCAAGCGCGAUUUCCGUAGAGUCCGGAGCGACACUAAAUCGGGCGGUGGAGUCAUCCUGAAUAUUGAAAGGCGUCCGACGCGUGAUCUUAUAUGCUCUAGCCAGUGGUCACGUCAACCGAUAGUUGUGGAACGAUAUAACUCGAACGGAACGAUCAGUGUCCUGCUCUUUGGCUUUAGGAGUGUAUCGUACAAAAGGCCCCAUCCAGGGGCCUUUAAGCGUAUCGACUGUUCCUCCACUUGGCGUCGUUGUCAAAUUGGCGUCACUAUGCACUCAUGGUAUGGCAUCGGGAGAGGCGGCGAAGAAGAGGUAGCCGUUUGGAGUCUAUCUCAAUGCAAAUCUGGCGGUGAUCAAGGGAGAGAGGGGAUCAUCAGCGCUUGCUCCGCCGCGUGUAGGAGAAAUGUCCGCAGCAG